CGUUGAUCUAGGGAGGUCUUAGCUUAAUUAAAGUGUCUGAGUUGCAUUCAGGAKAUGUGUGUCAGAAUUAUACAGGCCUU
rnacentral:tRNA from 1 species